UGUUUUUUGAUCCGUCAUGGAAAUAAAAUUGCCAAAAAAAAGAUAAGCUAUGAAGGAAAACCACUGGAGAUUUGGUGCAGAGUGGAGCUUGGUGCUGUCACAUUCUCAGACUCAGCUGAGAGAUGUCCACCCCAGACCCUCCCAUGGGAGGGACGCCUCGGCCGGGCCCCUCCCCAGGACCGGGGCCUUCUCCAGGAGCAAUGAUGGGCCCCAGCCCUUCCCCGGGCUCUGCUCAUAGCAUGAUGGGACCCAGCCCAGGUCCCCCAGCCUCUGGGCACUCCCACCCACAACAGGGGCCCUCAGUAUAUCCUCAGGAGAAUAUGCAUCAGAUGCACAAACCUAUGGAAGGCAUGCAUGAGAAGGGCAUGUCUGAUGACCCUCGCUAUGGACCAAU